rnacentral:lncRNA from 1 species
UCUUGCUACAGAUAAAUAAAACAUUUAAAAGCUGAUAUUAAAGAGAGUGACCAUUUUGGUUGUUUAGAAACGUUUCAUAAUAUUUUUCUUUUUGUUGGCCCUGAAGUAGUCAUAUUUAAAGAUCUCUCUUUUGCCUUUUACUCUUGAGGAAGUAUGGUGACAUUAUGUCUUAAUUGCUCGGAUCAUAUUUAGCCAUCCUUAUCUGUCUUGAGAUGUAAGACAGAUAAGGAUUCCUGCAGACCCUGACCAAUGAUUUCUUUAGUUUGAUCCACCCAGAGCAUCGAAGACCUUCUUCUAGGUUAUUUACCAUUAAGUUUACAUUUAAAGAUAAUUUAAAUUGAUUGAUUUAAAGAUAUACCGUUAAAUAAUUUGAUAUUAUUUAGUUGUGAUCCCCUAUCUAGGAGGAACAUUUAUUAAGGGUAGGUAAAUACAAUGUAUCAACAUAUCUCUUGAGUCGAAAUUAAGGCAGUUAAGAUGCUAUGUUUUUCUGUUUUAUUGUAUGAAGUAGAAUUCUGGACACUCACAGAAGCCACAACUAAAAAUCUAGAAGCAUUUGAGAUGUGCUUGUAAAGAAGUAUGCUCAGAAUAUCAUGGACAGCGCACAAGAAGUGCUAAGAAGAAUGAAAAAAUGUACACCAUUGAAACAAGAAAACUAGAAUACCUGGGACAUGUUAUAAUAAAUAAAGACGGAUACUGCCUAGUGCAAACUAUAAUACAAGGAAAGGUAUUGGGAAGAGGGCCGAAAGAAGUAGAACAUCACCUGGAAAAGCUCAGUACAACUGUCUCGAGCUGUUAUAAAAAAAGUUAUAAUUGCAAGUAUUUGAACAAUGAAUAGAGAAGAAGAAGGUACAAUGUCACGAAAAAUAGAUUUAUUAUUAUAUAGAAUUUCUGUUAAUUUAUCCUUUAAAACUCUCAUCUCCAUCUUGAACUCCAUUGUUCUUGACAUGAUUAAUAAAACGCAAGCAAGUUUUUUGAAUACGAUUGUUAUCAGUGCAUAAUAACUAAAUCACAAACUGACUGAACAAAAUAAGUCCUAGUCGUCCAAGGAUUUUUUAAAAUAAUUUGAUAUAUUUUUAAGGCAUAAAUUUGAAUCUUAAAUAGUUUGAGCAAUAACUUGAAAUUCAAGUGUUAUACAUCGUUGAAAGGGUAAUAAAUAAAGGCAAAGGAACUACUUAAAACUAUAUUUAAUUUGUAAAUACCAGAUUUAUUACAACUAAACAAAUAGAAGAAUAGAUAUAGGAACAAAAAAUUGACCGCUUGAAUGCUGUUUUUAAUAUAAUUCAUUUUAUAUUUUAUUCAGUCAGUAUUAAAGAAUAUUGUAGAAUAAUCAUGCCUCGGAAAUAUGCUGAAUACUAUCUAAACUGGCACGAGUGGAAGCUACCAGGGAAAUUUCUCAUCAAUUUUACUAAAAGCCGCAUUCAGCAGGAAACAAAACGACGAUUUAGCAGGGACAGUCUGACGCGAAUUAAAGGCCCUUUUGUCCUUUGGCCGCAUUCAUGUCGGUUAUCUCCGUAUAACCGGUUUGAUGGUCUCGUGUUUUCAUUUCAAAGGGAUGGUUUACUAGAUAUAUCAUCACGCAAUUAGCUAAGAAAAAUAUAUUUAAGAUAACUUUUUACAUAAAAAUUCAUGUAAUACAUUUUUCACCACCAGUUGCCUCCGUAAAAUCGUAAUUGGGUCAGUAAUCAAUAUGAAAACAUUUUUGUUGUCUGUCUAUGCUUGCGCUAAACAUAUAAAAUAGACUAAAGUUACAGAAAAAAACGGCAACGGUUGUCACAUAAAUUCGCGUUUUAGUGGAGUUAAGUAAACAGGCCUUUAAAUGUUAAAAGCUGGCAUUUAAACGGCGCCUGACGUCAACGGGUUCAUAUAACUAGUUCUAAUGUAUAAUAAAAAAAGUAAAAAAUUGAAGGUAAUUUGGAUAAAAGUAUUUUCUUAUACAAUAGGUUCUAUACAGACUUAAAAAAAAUUAUAAUUACAAUUUUAUCCUUAUCAACAUUCAAAACAAUAGUAGGUAUAAUGGAUUUUUUUUAAAUAUUGGAUAUUUCAAUUCUCGAUCUGAUGACCGCUAAUUAGGAGAAACGUGUCAUCUUAAUUAGAAAUAAAUUCAAUUGUCUUUAUUUUUUAUAAAAAUUAAUAACGAUAUACGAUGCAGUUACCAUCUCACGUUUUACCCGUUCCAUAUCACAAGUGUUCUUGAAUGUGUGUUAUUGUACUUAAAAUAAGGUCUGAUGAUGCCGUAAGGCCAAACCCGUAACCUAACGAAUGGACGCUACAUUUGUGAGGCUUGGACUUGAGUUUAUUUUCCUCCUCGUUACAUAUUAUUAAAGUCUCUUUGAGAAUAAUGGAUGAAAUUUUUUGAAUUAAUUAGAAAUAAAGAAAUUCUGA